GCCUCAAAUCAGGUAGGACUACCCGCUGAACUUAAGCAUAUCAAUAAGCGGAGGAAAAGAAACUAACAAGGAUUCCCUCAGUAACGGCGAGUGAAGCGGGAAGAGCUCAAAUUUGUAAUCUGGUGGCCUCAGGUCAUCCGAGUUGUAAUCUAUAGAGGUGUUUUCCGUGCUGGCUCAUGUACAAGUCCCUUGGAACAGGGCGUCAUAGAGGGUGAGAAUCCCGUCCUUGACAUGAACUACCAGUGCUCUGUGAUACACUUUCAACGAGUCGAGUUGUUUGGGAAUGCAGCUCAAAAUGGGUGGUAAAUUCCAUCUAAAGCUAAAUAUUGGCGAGAGACCGAUAGCGAACAAGUACCGUGAGGGAAAGAUGAAAAGCACUUUGGAAAGAGAGUUAAACAGUAUGUGAAAUUGUUGAAAGGGAAACGAUUGAAGUCAGUCGUGCUCUUUGGACUCAGCCGGUUCUGCCGGUGUACUUCCAUUGAGUGGGGUCAACAUCAGUUUUGACUGCUGGAUAAAGGCUGGAGGAAUGUAGCACCCCCGGGUGAACUUAUAGCCUCCUGUCACAUACAGUGGUUGGGACUGAGGAAUGCAGCACGCCUUUUGGCCGGGGUUCGCCCACGUACGUGCUUAGGAUGUUGACAUAAUGGCUUUAAACGACCCGUCUUGAAACACG
rnacentral:rRNA from 1 species